rnacentral:misc_RNA from 1 species
AAGAAAGAAAAAAAAAAAAAAAAAAGAGAGAAAGAGAGAAGAGAGAGAAAGACGGAAUCAGACAGAGAGAGAAGGGCAAAAAAACUUUAGAGAGAGAUAGAGAGAGAUCGGGCGGUUAAAAAAUGACAGAGCAACAAAUAUCACAAGCCUUGGAAUCACUUCUCCAAGAUUGCUCCCGAUCAUCGUCAAACCCUAAUUCCGCCUCCACUCAACUCACUUCUCUAAACGCCGUCGUUCAGCACCUCCAGUCCAAGCUCGGCCUCGACCUCUCUCACAAGGCCGAUUUCAUUCGAGCCCAGAUCCAACAAUUCCUUUUCCAGCCGCCGCUGCCGCCUCUACAGUCGCAGCAUCCUCCCCCUCCUCCUCCUCCUCACCGAAAUGACCAUGCUGCCCUUCAACAAAAUCCUAAUUUCUAUCCCGUUCCCGCCCCCACUGUCUCCUCUGCCUUUAACUCUUCCUCUACGCAAGCGCUUGCUUCCGUCAAACCCGAAACGCUUUCGGUUUCGAGCACCGAGGUUUCAAAACAGAGUGGUCCUAAUAAAGCUAAAAGAAGAGGUGGGCCAGGCGGUCUUAACAAACUUUGUGGUGUUUCACCUCAACUUGAGACUAUUGUUGGGCAGCCAGCUCUUCCAAGGACCGAGAUCGUGAAACAGCUGUGGGCUUACAUUAGGAAAAACAAUCUUCAAGACCCAAGUAACAAAAGGAAAAUAAUUUGCAAUGAUGAGCUGCGCUUGGUGUUUGAGACCGAC